UGGGGAAUCUUGGACAAUGGGGGCAACCCUGAUCCAGCCAUGCCGCGUGAUCGAUGAAGGCCUUAGGGUUGUAAAGAUCUUUCAGCUGGGAAGAUAAUGACGGUACCAGCAGAAGAAGCCCCGGCUAACUCCGUGCCAGCAGCCGCGGUAAUACGGAGGGUGCAAGCGUUAUUCGGAAUUACUGGGCGUAAAGCGCGUGUAGGCGGUCCUGCAAGUCUGAUGUGAAAGCCCCGGGCUUAACCCGGGAAGUGCAUUGGAAACUGUGGGACUUGAGUACUGGAGAGGAUGGGGGAAUUCCCGGUGUAGAGGUGAAAUUCGUAGAGAUCGGGAGGAAUAUCAGUGGCGAAGGCGCCCAUCUGGACGGUAACUGACGCUGAGACGCGAAAGCGUGGGGAGCAAACA
rnacentral:rRNA from 1 species